CAUUUCUGGGUUGUGUUUGUGCUGUAAGCUUUACCGCAGAGCAAAGAGAGAGAAAGUACAGGAGAACCGCUCAGAACACACAGCAACCUCUACCCUACCUCAAGGCGUUGAGUUUUGGACCGACAAGCACUGCUUAUAUUUUCUUAAGAAAAUAUGGAAAUCUAGUUUAUCUUUCAACAGUUAUGAUUCAUCUUAAGCUCCCCUGAUACUCCACUUCCAGACACAGUGACCCACUGCCUUAACCUGUUUUCCAGUAAAACAGUAAUUCCCAUAAGCC
rnacentral:lncRNA from 1 species